rnacentral:rRNA from 1 species
UGGUCUUGACAUCCUGCGAACUUUCUAGAAAUAGAUUGGUGCCUUCGGGAACGCAGUGACAGGUGCUGCAUGGCUGUCGUCAGCUCGUGUCGUGAGAUGUUGGGUUAAGUCCCGUAACGAGCGCAACCCCUAUCCUUAUUUGCCAGCACAUUAUGGUGGGAACUAUAAGGAGACUGCCGGUGAUAAACCGGAGGAAGGCGGGGACGACGUCAAGUCAUCAUGGCCCUUACGACCAGGGCUACACACGUGCUACAAUGGGAAGGACAAAGAGCCGCGAAGCCGCGAGGUGUAGCUAAUCUCAUAAAUCUUUUCGUAGUCCGGAUUGGAGUCUGCAACUCGACUCCAUGAAGUCGGAAUCGCUAGUAAUCGUAGAUCAGAAUGCUACGGUGAAUACGUUCCCGGGUCU